rnacentral:rRNA from 1 species
GAUGAACGCUAGCUACAGGCUUAACACAUGCAAGUCGAGGGGAAACGAUAUUGGAAGCUUGCUUCCGAUAGGCGUCGACCGGCGCACGGGUGAGUAACGCGUAUCCAACCUGCCCAUCACCUGGGGAUAACCUUGCGAAAGUAAGACUAAUACCCAAUGAUAUCUCUAGAAGACAUCUGAAAGGGAUUAAAGAUUUAUCGGUGAUGGAUGGGGAUGCGUCUGAUUAGCUUGUUGGCGGGGUAACGGCCCACCAAGGCGACGAUCAGUAGGGGUUCUGAGAGGAAGGUCCCCCACAUUGGAACUGAGACACGGUCCAAACUCCUACGGAAGGCAGCAGUGAGGAAUAUUGGUCAAUGGACGAGUGUCUGAACCAGCCAAGUAGCGUGCAGGAUGACGGCCCUAUGGGUUGUAAACUGCUUUUAUAAGGGAAUAAAGUGAGCCUCGUGAGGCUUUUUGCAUGUACCUUAUGAAUAAGGACCGGCUAAUUCCGUGCCAGCCGCCGCGGUAA